rfam:TPA: Bos taurus chromosome X, whole genome shotgun sequence.
UCCCUGGUGGCUCAGAGGUUAAGCGUCUGCCUGCAAUGCAGGAGACCCAGGUUUGAUCCCUGGGUUGGGAA